AUUUUUUCCAUUUCAUAAAACAAUUUCCCCUAUGUGUUAAAGUCAUUCAGAGUCGUAGUGAGCUUGUUCUCAGUCCUGCUUCCUAGCCUCAGCCCUCACGACUGUGUCUCCAUGUCCAGGAGUGACCGUUGACCACCAUGUUCCGGCACGUGCCUGCUUAGAGAACAGAUGAGCCUAAGUCGGGUGAAGCAAAUGGUCUGUUCUAGAAAUUGUGAAUGAGAAUGAAUAGUUGGUUCAAUUUUAUGGUUCAUUUGAAUGGAGGACAAUUAAGCUCUGGGGAUAUAGCCACCAUGUUUGGCUAUUUGAACAUUAAACAGGAUCUGGAGAAAGAAGCUAAAAGCAUGGACAAGCAAGAAGAGGGAGAGACCAUGCAGAGCGAGUGGACACGAGCUCAGCAGACAGCAAGAGCGGCUGCCUGGAUCGAUAAAAAAAAAUCUGUGGUUUAGUGCUGGUUCAAGGGCAGACCCAUUCCUGAUGUAUUCUUGCCUGUGGAUCGUAAUGAGACAACGUAUGGUUCUCUCUAAUACAUUGCUGCUUUCAUGUAAAUUAUGUUGAGGAAUCUCUCAUCAAAUAGCUUGGACUUGGAUGUCCAGGGGACCACUUUCUUGAAUUAUUUGCUCUAAGCAUUUCUGUCCUUGGCUGGGUAUAGGAAACAUUUUAUCCCAGCCGGUGGCCCAGCCGCACAAAUGCUCAGCUGAAUACUUCUUCAGGUAUCCAAUUCCCUGGGUGUAUCUCGGCUCAGCUGCACCGUCAAGGUUAUUUCUCAGCGGCGCCUCGCUUCACUUUUCUUUUCAAUCUGCAGCUCCCCAAGAGCCACAUCCAGCCUGGCACUUGGGUGCUCUGUCCUCACUGACCCCCAGUGCUCCGCUGCUUUGUGCUGCGCAUGCCCGCCCCUUUCUCUUCCGCACCCAUGCUGUCGCCCAUUGUUUGCUAAUGACUAGUUGGCAGGCAAAGGGAAGUAGCAGUCAGCUUGGCCCGCAGACUGGAAAGGAGCGUGUUUUUCUGAGAAUGAAAACAUUAUUUGGUGACCAACAUACACGGGCAAACUGAGACUCGGAAAAGACUGGGCUGCUGAGGAAGAUUGGAAAUUCAAUCCAGUUGCAGCCCCCUACCAACGUGCUGAUGACUACUCUCCGUGGAUUGACUUUUAAAAGUUCCACAUGUGUGACAAGCCUUGCGUGAUGUGCUGGCAGUGGUGGCUCUGUUUCAGUGGGAUUCCCUUCCACACAUCCUGGUGGAAUGGCUACUCAUCCAGGAGCUUGGACCUCUCACCCAACAAAGCCUACGGCAUCUAUGCAUGUUCUGCCUACAGCGGGCCAGAGAAUACACAUGGUCUAAGAUAACGUGGAACUAAUUAAACACAUGGAUGGACAAAUAAGUCAAACCGGGAUGCUUCUCUAACUCAUCCAAGAAACCUCCAGAGAAUUAGGGCUGUCUCUAUUGAUAUCUUAAUUGCUCUGAAUCAUCCUGGCUCCUCUAGAUCUCAAUAAAUAACAACCUGCAUGUA